UACGGGAGGCAGCAGUGGGGAAUAUUGCACAAUGGGCGCAAGCCUGAUGCAGCCAUGCCGCGUGUAUGAAAAAGGCCUUCGGGUUGUAAAGUACUUUCAGUCGUGAGGAAGGUGUUAAGGUUAAUAACCUUAGCAAUUGACGUUAGCGACAGAAGAAGCACCGGCUAACUCCGUGCCAGCAGCCGCGGUAAUACGGAGGGUGCGAGCGUUAAUCGGAAUUACUGGGCGUAAAGGGCACGCAGGCGGUUAAUUAAGUUGGAUGUGAAAUCCCCGGGCUUAACCUGGGAAUGGCAUUCAAGACUGGUUAGCUAGAGUCUUGUAGAGGGGGUUAGAAUUCCAUGUGUAGCGGUGAAAUGCGUAGAGAUGUGGAGGAAUACCGGUGGCGAAGGCGGCCCCUGGACAAAGGACUGACGCUCAUGUGCGAAAGCGUGGGGAGCAAACAGGGAUUAGAU
rnacentral:rRNA from 1 species